UGGUGGGUAGUUUGACUGGGGCGGUCUCCUCCUAAAGAGUAACGGAGGAGCACGAAGGUUGGCUAAUCCUGGUCGGACAUCAGGAGGUUAGUGCAAUGGCAUAAGCCAGCUUGACUGCGAGCGUGACGGCGCGAGCAGGUGCGAAAGCAGGUCAUAGUGAUCCGGUGGUUCUGAAUGGAAGGGCCAUCGCUCAACGGAUAAAAGGUACUCCGGGGAUAACAGGCUGAUACCGCCCAAGAGUUCAUAUCGACGGCGGUGUUUGGCACCUCGAUGUCGGCUCAUCACAUCCUGGGGCUGAAGUAGGUCCCAAGGGUAUGGCUGUUCGCCAUUUAAAGUGGUACGCGAGCUGGGUUUAGAACGUCGUGAGACAGUUCGGUCCCUAUCUGCCGUGGGCGCUGGAGAACUGAGGGGGGCUGCUCCUAGUACGAGAGGACCGGAGUGGACGCAUCACUGGUGUUCGGGUUGUCAUGCCAAUGGCACUGCCCGGUAGCUAAAUGCGGAAGAGAUAAGUGCUGAAAGCAUCUAAGCACGAAACUUGCCCCGAGAUGAGUUCUCCCUGACUCCUUGAGAGUCCUGAAGGAACGUUGAAGA
rnacentral:rRNA from 1 species